GUAGCAUUCGAAUGGAGCGAUAUGUCAGUACAGCCAGCCCUUUAGUCGAAAAGGAGUUCGCCAGCAUUCUGAGGACAGUAUAUUGAAUGUUAAAGAUGAACUCAGUGACGUUGUCAGUCGUUGUCUUGACAGUAACUGCUCUACUUGUGAUGUUAUCGACUCCUGCUGCCGCAGAUUGUCGGUAUUGCUAUAAUCAAAAAAGAAUAUGUUUUACUACUUGUAUUACCCAGACGUGUUUGGACAACUGCGACAUUGGAUAUAAUAGUUGUCUUCAAAGCUCAUCUUGCCGACGAUUUCUUCUUCGAGACGUUCUUAAAGAAAAUUAUAAAAAUCGACCACAGUUACAUUACGAAACAUUGUUUUAGUCGGUAAACUAAGUAUUUAAUUUUAACGAAGCAACAGAAAACGGGGAUGAGGAUGAGAUUCCUGUAAAAUGAAGAUGGAACACCGAUCGAGAUCUGUUUAAAGCAUUAGUUAGGGUAAUACUUAAUUGCUAUACGUUUUUCGUGUAAAAGUUCCCAUAAUGCAAAUCAUUAAACCAGGAUAAUUAUAACAAA